AGCGGAGGAAAAGAAACCAACAGGGAUUGCCUUAGUAGCGGCGAGUGAAGCGGCAAAAGCUCAAAUUUGAAAUCUGGCACUUUCAGUGUCCGAGUUGUAAUUUGAAGAAGGUAUCUUUGGGUCUGGCUCUUGUCUAUGUUUCUUGGAACAGAACGUCACAGAGGGUGAGAAUCCCGUGCGAUGAGAUGACCCAGACCUAUGUAAAGUUCCUUCGAAGAGUCGAGUUGUUUGGGAAUGCAGCUCUAAGUGGGUGGUAAAUUCCAUCUAAAGCUAAAUAUUGGCGAGAGACCGAUAGCGAACAAGUACAGUGAUGGAAAGAUGAAAAGAACUUUGAAAAGAGAGUGAAAAAGUACGUGAAAUUGUUGAAAGGGAAGGGCUUGAGAUCAGACUUGGUAUUUUGUAUGUUACUCUUUCGGGGGUGGCCUCUACAGUUUACCGGGCCAGCAUCAGUUUGGGCGGUAGGAGAAUUGCAAAGAAAUGUGGCACUGCUUCGGUAGUGUGUUAUAGUCUUUGUCGAUACUGCCAGCCUAGACUGAGGACUGCGGCUUCGGCCUAGGAUGUUGGCAUAAUGAUCUUAAGUCGCCCGUCUUGA
rnacentral:rRNA from 1 species